AUUUUUGGAAACUAACUCUCAUCUUUUCCUCUUCAAAAGUCUUCUCAAGUACAGUCUCUGUUCCUUUUUCCCACUGAUCAACUCAAACAACAACUUGAUAGAACUCAAGCUGAGGAAAUUGCUACAAAAAGAAAGCGAAAGAAAAGGAAAGAUUUUUCCAAAUGGGUUUUCUCAGUUUUACGCUUCACUUGAUCGAUUUCCUGGCUUGGUAAAUUCAUUUUCUUUUUCCAAUAUUCUUGUUUUUGUUUGGUAAAAACUGGAGCUUGGUCAUGAAAAAUCUUGAGAAGUAGUAGUAGUAAUGAGGAAAAAGAACACAAAUUUAGCUUUGUAGAUAGCAGAUUAGUGCUGAUUUCUUUUUACCAUUAUAAAUACUUUAGCAUGAGUCUACGUAUUUAAGUACGUAUUUUGCAUGUAUGUGUAUUUAUACUUUCUUUUGUUUUCUUGCUUUACCAAAUUUGCAGGCCGGUUCUUGCUCUGGGCUAUCCUAUGUAAGUUUGGGAACUUCCCAUUACUCCAUAUUCAUCACUUCCUUUAUCCUUAACAAGUCCAUAUAU
rnacentral:lncRNA from 1 species